ACGCUCGACACCUACGGGAGCAGCAGUGGGGAAUAUUGCACAAUGGGGGGAACCCGUGAUGCAGCGACGCCGCGUGAGUGAAGAAGUACUUCGGUAUGUAAAGCUCUAUCAGCAGGGAAGAAAAUGACGGUACCUGACUAAGAAGCCCCGGCUAACUACGUGCCAACANCCGCGGUAAUCUGAGCGGGCUGGCAAGGC
rnacentral:rRNA from 1 species